GAAACUGCGUGAGUGGAAGUCUGCGUUGGACAAAUUUUGAAAAUAUCUGAAGGUUUAACGAAUUUUGGAGAAUUCGACAGAGCUACAGACUACGAAACCUUUCGAAACGAACACACGUGUCCUGUUGAACUUGAAAAAAACGAAAUUAUUUUUAAAAAGAUCAUGGUAACUCGUGAAGCAACAUCUCAGAAUUGAAUCGGGGAACGAGGAAUCAAAAAAAGGUUAACAAUUUGGAUCAUUUUGGAAGAUACAUACGCCGCGCUUUUCAAAGCGGACAGACGUGCCCUUGUCCAACUGAAACGAACACACGUGUCCUGUUGAACUUGAAAAAAGACGAAAUUAUUUUUAAAAAGAUCAUGGUAACUCGUGAAGCAACAUCUCAGAAUUGAAUCGGCGAGUUGUGUAUUUGCUGGCAAUCCGAGCCUGCUUGGAUCAUUUUGGAAGAUACAUACGCCUGCGCUUUUCAAAGCGGACAGACGUGCCCGUGUCCAACUUGACAAAGGCGGAAUUAUUUUAGGAAAGGUAUAUUAUUUGUAAAAAAAAUAUACAAUUUUUAAGUAACAUAUUUGA